rnacentral:rRNA from 1 species
ACUCCUACGGGAGGCAGCAGUAGGGAAUCUUCCACAAUGGGCGCAAGCCUGAUGGAGCAACACCGCGUGAGUGAAGAAGGGUUUCGGCUCGUAAAGCUCUGUUGUUAAAGAAGAACACGUAUGAGAGUAACUGUUCAUACGUUGACGGUAUUUAACCAGAAAGUCACGGCUAACUACGUGCCAGCAGCCGCGGUAAUACGUAGGUGGCAAGCGUUAUCCGGAUUUAUUGGGCGUAAAGAGAGUGCAGGCGGUUUUCUAAGUCUGAUGUGAAAGCCUUCGGCUUAACCGGAGAAAUGCAUCGGAAACUGGAUAACUUGAGUGCAGAAGAGGGUAGUGGAACUCCAUGUGUAGCGGUGGAAUGCGUAGAUAUAUGGAAGAACACCAGUGGCGAAGGCGGCUACCUGGUCUGCAACUGACGCUGAGACUCGAAAGCAUGGGUAGCGAACAGGAUUAGAUACCCUGGUAGGAUAGCG